AUUUAAAUAGCUUAUAAUUAGAGCAUAACAUUGAAGCUGUUAGUGAGAUAAAGAAUCUUUAAAUA
rnacentral:tRNA from 1 species